AUGAAUGAAUAGAAGGAUGCUUGAGUGAAGAAGUGUAGGAGUGAAUGAAGUUCACCUGGUCCUGGGGUUGCGGGGCAGGAAGCUUCUCCAGAGGGCCAGGGGGGCACAAUCCAACCUUGAGGCAGGGGCCUGGCCAAGAUGACCUUGGGAGAGGUUGAGGAGUGUAACUUGGGGGGAUAGGCCAGGGUCACUUUCCCCGCCCAUCCUUUAUGUAGGCAGCCCCGUGUCAUAGACCCCCUCUGUGUCCCCUGCUGCAGCAAAGUCUGAGAAGGUAGUUGCUGGGAGCUGUUGGCCUGGAUGGGCCCUCUACGCCCUGCUCGUGCCCCUCGGCCCCGGGGCCUGGGCUCCCGCUAUCCCAGCCAGGGCCUGGGCAGGCGGCGAUUUCGUCUCCGUCGCCUCCGACUGAGAACAACACCCCAGAGAAUGUUCAAGCCCAGCCGGCCGAGGUACCGGACCCAGUGUGGGAACGCUGCCAAUUUACUAACUUCCAGCUCCGGUUUGUGGCUCCUUCCUCAUCAGCCCCUGGAAAUUUUGCAAGAAAUUGAGGUCCAGAGAAGGGAAGGGACUGGUACAAGGUCAUAUAGCAAGUAAGUAGCCAAGCUGAGAUUCAGCUCAGGGCCCAGUCCUCCUGCAGGAGUAGGCCCCCCCACCCCGAUUUUGACAGCUUCUUCCCUAGAUCCCCCAAGAGACUCUGCACUGAUGCCCAUGAGGGGACCUCUGAGGCUUGUGACUCCUGAACAGGCCCCGGACAAGAGGGCUCAUGUGGGUACCAAAGUUAAAAGAGGAGGCAAAGCUUUUCAGAAGUGUCCCCGGGGCUGGGGCUGGGCAGGUAGAGGACCUGGUUGUCCAUUUAUAGACUCCUCCCAGCUCAGAGAACUUCCCUGCCUCAGCUCACCUCUGCCAGGAAGUCUUGCCUGACAUUUCAGGUUCAUGCCAGCCCCUCUGCCCUUGUUUCCUUCUCAGAGCCAAGGCCCAGCUGGGAUUUGAAUCCAGAGCUUCCCAGCUCCCAGAGCAGGCCCCUUCUCCUGUUCUGAGAUUCUGGACUCCCUCGAGCACCCUGCCCCUGGACCCUUAGCACCAUUCUUGGGGCUCUCUGCAUCCCACUGACACAGC
rnacentral:lncRNA from 1 species